UUUUUUUCCAUCUCAUCAGCGAAGGCGUUCCCUAGAAACACUUUAUCUUUCCCUGUAGUGUGUGCGGCACAUUUACAGAUUGCUAGUUGUUUUGGUAGCUGCACAGCUUGUAGUAAAUCUUUUAAUAGGUCUGCAUGAGUUGCGAUAAUAAUGUGCUCAUACAGGAGAGAUGCCUCGCAGGCGA